rnacentral:rRNA from 1 species
UACGAAGGGGGCUAGCGUUGCUCGGAAUCACUGGGCGUAAAGCGCACGUAGGCGGAUCUUUAAGUCAGGGGUGAAAUCCUGGAGCUCAACUCCAGAACUGCCCUUGAUACUGGGGAUCUUGAGUCCGGAAGAGGUGAGUGGAACUCCGAGUGUAGAGGUGAAAUUCGUAGAUAUUCGGAAGAACACCAGUGGCGAAGGCGGCUCACUGGUCCGGUACUGACGCUGAGGUGCGAAAGCUAGGGGAGCAAACGGG